rnacentral:rRNA from 1 species
UACCUAUACGUUGCCUCGGCGGAUCAGCCCGCGCCCCGUAAAACGGGACGGCCCGCCCGAGGACCCCUAAACUCUGUUUUUAGUGGAACUUCUGAGUAAAACAAACAAAUAAAUCAAAACUUUCAACAACGGAUCUCUUGGUUCUGGCAUCGAUGAAGAACGCAGCAAAAUGCGAUAAGUAAUGUGAAUUGCAGAAUUCAGUGAAUCAUCGAAUCUUUGAACGCACAUUGCGCCCGCCAGUAUUCUGGCGGGCAUGCCUGUUCGAGCGUCAUUUCAACCCUCAAGCUCAGCUUGGUGUUGGGACUCGCGGUAACCCGCGUUCCCCAAAUCGAUUGGCGGUCACGUCGAGCUUCCAUAGCGUAGUAAUCAUACACCUCGUUACUGGUAAUCGUCGCGGCCACGCCGUAAAACCCCAACUUCUGAAUGUUGACCUCGGAUCAGGUAGGAAUACCCGCUGAACUUAAGCAU